AGAUAAUAGAUACCCGGGUAGUCCACGCCGUAAACGGUGGGUGCUAGGUGUAGGGGGUAUUCCACGCCCUCUGUGCCGCAGCUAAACGCAUUAAGCACCCCGCCUGGGGAGUACGGCCGCAAGGCUAAAACUCAAAGGAAUUGACGGGGGCCCGCACAAGCAGCGGAGCAUGUGGCUUAAUUCGACGCAACGCGAAGAACCUUACCAAGGCUUGACAUGCAGGGAAAUCUCCCAGAGAUGGGAGGUCCGCAAGGGUCCUGCACAGGUGGUGCAUGGUUGUCGUCAGCUCGUGUCGUGAGAUGUUGGGUUAAGUCCCGCAACGAGCGCAACCCUCGUUCUAUGUUGCCAGCGGUUCGGCCGGGGACUCAUAGGAGACUGCCGGGGUCAACUCGGAGGAACGGUGGGGACGACGUCAAAUCAUCAUGCCCCUUAUGUCUUGGGCUGCACACAUGCUACAAUGGCCGGUACAAAGGGCUGCUAAACCGCGAGGUGGAGCGAAUCCCAAAAAGCCGGUCUCAGUUCGGAUU
rnacentral:rRNA from 1 species